rnacentral:rRNA from 1 species
GACGAACGCUGGCGGCGUGCUUAACACAUGCAAGUCGAACGGAAAGGCCCUGCUUUUGUGGGGUGCUCGAGUGGCGAACGGGUGAGUAACACGUGAGUAACCUGCCCUUGACUUUGGGAUAACUUCAGGAAACUGGGGCUAAUACCGGAUAGGAGCUCCUGCUGCAUGGUGGGGGUUGGAAAGUUUCGGCGGUUGGGGAUGGACUCGCGGCUUAUCAGCUUGUUGGUGGGGUAGUGGCUUACCAAGGCUUUGACGGGUAGCCGGCCUGAGAGGGUGACCGGCCACAUUGGGACUGAGAUACGGCCCAGACUCCUACGGGAGGCAGCAGGGGGGAAUAUUGCACAAUGGGCGGAAGCCUGAUGCAGCAACGCCGCGUGCGGGAUGACGGCCUUCGGGUCGUAAACCGCUUUCGCCUGUGACGAAGCGUGAGUGACGGUAAUGGGUAAAGAAGCACCGGCUAACUACG